GUCUGUCCGGUCAUGCAGGCAGCAAGAAGCAACAGCAGCACGAAGGAGCAGCAGCAGCGGGCUGGAGGCCGCAGGGCUGCACUCCCACCAUGGCGGGGUUCUGGCCCCUUUACUCCCACCAUAGAGGCUGAUGGAGGCCGGCUGACGUGAUGAGGCCUCAUGGCCACGCUGGUGUUGAGGUGAUUCUCCAGAGACUCCUGGUUGAGGCAGAACCCGGGCCCCGUGUGGAGCAGGCAGAACCUGGGCCUGCGGCGUGCUGCAGGGGGAGGAGCCGCCCGGCCCGCGGGGCGAGGAGCCGCCCGGCCUAGAUGACUCAAGGCGGCGUCUCCAGCGUCGUUCACCGGCGGCCAUCUUACUACAGGACACUCUGGUCACUAUCGUUGUUGCUGUUGGAGGUGAGGCGAGCGCUGCGGGGGAGGAGACUCCAGGAGCCGCUCCGGCCUGCAGGAGGAUGAAGAUGCAACAGUUUCCCCAUAUUUGUAAUGGAUAUUUAUUCCAAACAAACCACUUUUAACGACGUUUCCAUCUAUCAAAGGGUGAAGCUAGCGGGCCCUCGUCAUUUGUGAUGUAUCAGUUGGAAAUGUUCCGCUCUCUCAAUAAAUGUUUUCUCAAAGUG